AGUAUUACUACUACAUUGGAACCACUUCUUGCCUUCUGUGUAACAACUUCUAUGCUAUUAUUAACCUAUCCCGCAGUCAGCUGGAAGAGGCUCUGUGGCCCGAAUGAGGACAAGCGGCAUAGAAAAUGGAUGGAAACGUCACACAGCUUCCCAAAAACUGUAAAUAUGUUAUAUAUUAACAUUUUAUACUAGGAUGGGCCCGUAUCCCAGGGUUCUCUGGUUGCUUGGAGCAUACCAGUAUGAUCUGGCAGCAGAUCCGAACUGCUAAGAAGGACAAAAGAGACCUCCAUGUAACCUUCCUCGGCUUGGCUAAUGCCUUUGGAUCAGUUCCCCACAACCUCCUCUGGGAAUCCUUCAACGUCUUCCACGUUCCAUUAUCCAUCACUGCUCUAGUGAAAGUCUACUUUGAAGACCUGCGAUUGUGCUUUACAACAGCCGGCGACACAACAUCAUGGCAGCGUCCAGAAGUAGGCAUCAUGGCAGGCCUGGCAUUCACAAUGGCCAUGGAAAUCAUCAUCAGGGCCUCCAGAUGGGUGGUGGGAGGUGAGCGAACAAAAAAACUGAAUCCGCCUUCCACUUAUCAGAGCAUUCAUGGAUGCCAUGACCACGCUGACCAUUACUGCAGCAUGCACCAGGCGACUACUUGCAGGAGAACAUCAGAUGGGCCCGGAUGAAAAUCAAGCCGAAUAAGUCACGAAGCAUCUUAAUAGUCAACAAAGAGCUUAAGAACGUGAGGUUCUGCAUUGGUGUCAGAGCAACCCGUCCAAAGCCUGGGCAGAUGGUACAAUGCAAGCCUCAGGGACAAAGACCAAGUGCAGGUAUUAAGGCAGGACAUCUCCACCAGUCUGGACACCAUCAACAAGACAAUGCUGCCAGGGAAGCUCAAACUCUGAUGCCUACAAUUUGGACUUCUCCCUCGGGUAAUGUGGCCACUCAGGAUCUACGAGGUCCCAAUAACAACGGUGGAAAAGAUGGAGCGAAACAUAACUUCCGUCCCACGCUGUCUGACCAACAUCAGCAUCUAUGGCAAAGGAGUCCUUGAACUACCUGUCACGAGCCUCACUCAAGAGUACAAGUGCUCUAAAGUGAGGCUGCAGAUGACAUUGAAGGACGCCAGAGAUCAGACCGUCAGAAAUGCUGCACCACCUCUGUCAACGGGAAGGAAAUGGACACCAUCCGACGCAGUACAGCAUGCUACGUCAGCCCUGAAGCACAACGACAUGGUGGGACAUGUCCAGCUGGGAAGAGGAGGAUUUGGCGUUGCAGUGAAUAAACCAACUUGGCAAAAAGCUUCAGCCUCACAAAGGAGGAAAAUGGUGGUAGAGGAAGUGCGGCGUCAGGACGAUGCUGAAAGAAGCGCAAAGGCUGUCUCUCUUGCCGAGCAGGGACAGUGGAUGAGUUGUCUUUGAACGGGCACGCAGACGGAACCACGUGACACUCCAGACCGUAGAAAAAGAAAGAACGGAUGCACAAAAGCCCGUCGUCUUCCGCUUACGAGAGGUGGAAUUACUUCUGCGAGUCAUUGUGGAGUAUAAGACAACAAAAUGUCAGCAGAAUGUCGACUGAGGCUCCUAGCAGGUUGACUACAUUCAGAUGGUUGCCGAUGUGAAUGAGGAUCUUCAACUCCGACAUUAAGGCCUUAUGCUCGCUGGCUGUGGCUCCCUC